rnacentral:rRNA from 1 species
UACGUAGGGGGCAAGCGUUGUCCGGAUUUAUUGGGCGUAAAGAGCUCGUAGGCGGCUUAGUAAGUCGGGUGUGAAACCUCCAGGCUCAACCUGGAGACGCCACCCGAUACUGCUGUGGCUAGAGUCCGGUAGGGGAGCGUGGAAUUCCUGGUGUAGCGGUGAAAUGCGCAGAUAUCAGGAGGAACACCAGCGGCGAAGGCGGCGCUCUGGGCCGGUACUGACGCUGAGGAGCGAAAGCGUGGGGAGCAACAGG